GUGCCAGCAGCCGCGGUAAUACGUAGGUCCCGAGCGUUGUCCGGAUUUAUUGGGCGUAAAGCGAGCGCAGGCGGUUAGAUAAGUCUGAAGUUAAAGGCUGUGGCUUAACCAUAGUACGCUUUGGAAACUGUUUAACUUGAGUGCAAGAGGGGAGAGUGGAAUUCCAUGUGUAGCGGUGAAAUGCGUAGAUAUAUGGAGGAACACCGGUGGCGAAAGCGGCUCUCUGGCUUGUAACUGACGCUGAGGCUCGAAAGCGUGGGGAGCA
rnacentral:rRNA from 1 species